rnacentral:rRNA from 1 species
GGACAAUGGGCGAAAGCCUGAUCCAGCCAUGCCGCGUGAGUGAUGAAGGCCCUAGGGUUGUAAAGCUCUUUUGUGCGGGAAGAUAAUGACGGUACCGCAAGAAUAAGCCCCGGCUAACUUCGUGCCAGCAGCCGCGGUAAUACGAAGGGGGCUAGCGUUGCUCGGAAUCACUGGGCGUAAAGGGUGCGUAGGCGGGUUUCCAAGUCAGAGGUGAAAGCCUGGAGCUCAACUCCAGAACUGCCUUUGAUACUGGAAGUCUUGACUUCGGGAGAGGUGAGUGGAACUGCGAGUGUAGAGGUGAAAUUCGUAGAUAUUCGCAAGAACACCAGUGGCGAAGGCGGCUCACUGGCCCGAUACUGACGCUGAGGCACGAAAGCGUGGGGAGCAAACA